UACGUAGGGACCGAGCGUUGUCCGGAAUCAUUGGGCGUAAAGAGCGUGUAGGCGGCCACUUAAGUCCUGCGUGAAAUCUUGCGGCUCAACCGCAAGCGGUCGUGGGAAACUGGGUGGCUAGAGUGCGGGAGAGGAGAGUGGAAUUCCUGGUGUAGCGGUGAAAUGCGCAGAUAUCAGGAGGAACACCAAUGGCGAAGGCAGCUCGCUGGGACGUGACUGACGCUGAGACGCGAAAAGCGUGGGGGAGCGAAACAGG
rnacentral:rRNA from 1 species